UGAUAUAGGAAACUAGGCAUUGAUAUAUGGUUAGAUACGUGGCAAUACAUGAGUGGAGACAGUAGCUGUGAGACGUGGCAAGAGAAGAUUGGUCGAUGGGAGUGUUAGAGGAAGAAUCGAGAUGCAGAGAUAUAUAGCUAAUGAAGAUCAUUUGCAGAAGAUAAGAAGAUUUUGGAUUUGUUGUUUAUAGUUUCCUUUUGGAUUCUCUCUUAGAAUCGUUCCUCAUCGUUCGCCGGAGUUUCAUGUUGAACUCUUGUAGAUGAGAAGUUGAUAUCGCGUUUCAUGAACGUUGUAUCAAUCUGUCAUUUUCAUUAAUCGAAGCAUUCUAUUUCGUUACUCUGUUUUCCGUUAUCACUUUUGAUUAAAACCAGAAUCCACUUGACUUAUCUCAUGAAGUUGCUUAAUGAUCAUUCCUCUCU
rnacentral:sRNA from 1 species